CGCGUUGACACUAACGGAAGUAGGUGGUGAAUUGACCGGUAAUGAUUAGCUAUUAGCUUCUUCUAAGAACUAAAUUAAAGCGUUUUUUCUUUGUCUUUACCCACUUUAUUAACCUCGUGGUUCCUGUGCAGCUGAAUCUUGUCCCAGUGUGGAGCUGCACCAUCAUGAUGUCCUGUCAGUCCCUCCUGAUGCUGAUGAUGCUGAGUGUCCUGACUGUGGGAGUCUCAGCGGUGGAAGUCCAACGCCCUCGCGGUGUCCCUUUGUCAAAACGGCAGUUCUAUGAAGAGGGCAAACCUUUUACCUGCCUGGAUGGCUCCCGCACUAUUCCCUUUGACAGAGUGAACGAUGACUACUGUGACUGCCAGGACGGCUCUGAUGAGCCAGGCACUGCUGCCUGUCCCAACGGCAGCUUCCACUGCACCAAUGCAGGUUUCCGACCAGGCUUCAUCCCUUCUUCUCGCAUCAAUGAUGGAAUCUGUGACUGCUGUGACACAACAGAUGAGUACAACAGUGGUGCUGCCUGUCAGAACACCUGCAGGGAGAUGGGGCGCAAAGAGAAGGAGAGCCUGCAGAAGAUGGCGGAAAUCGCCAAGGAGGGCUUUCUGCUGAAACAGCAACUUAUCCAGGAUGCCAAGAAGGGCCUUGAAGAUAAGAAGGCCAAACAUGCAGAUGUUCAGGUCAGUAGGAAAGAUUUGGAAAAGAGGGUGGAGGCUCUGAGAACUGAAAAGGAGACUGUAGAGAUGCCAGAGAGAGAAGCCAAAGAGCGCCAUCUGAAGGCCUGGGAAGAUCAAAAGGCAGUGAUUCAAAUGGAGAAGGACAAGGCCAAAAUGGCUGAGGUGUUUCUUGAACUGGAUGAUGAUGCAGAUGGCCUUAUCUCGGUGCCUGAGCUUCUGUCCCAUGCUGAGCUCGACCCAGACGCAGAUGAUACCUUCACAGAAGCAGAGGCUGAGGGACUGUUGGGAGGAGUGGACAAAGUGGACACCGAUGCAUUUGAGUCUGUUUGGAAUAACAUCAAAGAAAAAUACAAAUCAGAGGCCAACGCAGACAUCCCAGCGCCAGUGGAGACGCCGCCGGAGGAGAUCAGGGAGCCAGUCCCCGACAAUGACUCUGAGCAGUACCCUGAAGACGACAUCCAAGAGGAAGAAGAGGAGGAUGAUGAAGAGGAGGAAGAUGAGGACCAAGAUGACGGAGAGUAUAAGAGCCCUCCUACGAAGCAGACCCAAGAAAAGAAGGAUGACGAUGGUGAGGGGACGAUGCCACCCUACGACCAAGAAACGCAGAACCUCAUUGAUGUUGCUCAGAAAGCCAGGGAUGCAUUUGAUGAGGCUGAGAGAGCUCUCCGGGAAGUUGAUGAUCAGGUCAAGAACCUCGAGAAGGAAAUCUCCUUUGACUUUGGACCCAGUGCUGAGUUUGCCUACCUCUAUAACCAGUGUUAUGAGUUGCCUACUAGCGAAUACGUCUACAGACUCUGUCCUUUCAGCAGAGUGUCCCAGAAACCAAAGUACGGUGGAUCAGAAACUAACCUGGGAUCAUGGGGACAUUGGGCGGGUCCUGAGGAUAACAUCUACGCUGUGAUGAAGUAUGAACAUGGGACAGGAUGUUGGCAAGGCCCUAACAGAUCCACCACGAUUAAGUUAAUAUGUGGAAAGGACACAGUUUUGACAUCUACCUCAGAGCCCAGUCGUUGCGAGUACAUGAUGGAGUUUACCAGCCCUGCUGUCUGCCAUGAGCCUUCAAGCCUGGAUCCAGCGCUUCCUGAGCACGAAGAGCUCUAGAUCCACUGGAUUUGGACAGUCAGAGCUGCAUAAUGUUUCAACAUUUUGGAAGAAAGGAAAGGAAGAAAAUCCCCAGUGCAGUUACAGCUUCCCUUUAGAAGAAGAGCAGGACGGCAGCAAGAGCAAGGUUGUUCUUGAGGGACCACAGUCGCCAUAGCAACCUGAAGUUGCCAUGCCAUGCCGGGAGCGAGCGGCACCACCUCGGCGUCGAUAAACAAUUGAGAAUAAACGAUGGAAAUUCCAAUGAGUAGUUAUCUCGUCUGCACAUCCAACUUCCUCUGCCACCUGUUGUGUUGUUACUGAUUUGUGUCAAAUAUAGUCAUUCCAUUGUUUUCAAAUAAAGUUCAUUUUAUCAUAU